CCCGACUGACUGACAGAGAAAUGCCGUCACUGUUGCUGGGAUGAGGCACACGACACGCCCCUUUGAAAGCCACCAUCACAGACAGUUAGCAUUUGCUCUUCCCUCCUGCACCUGUGGCGUGGCUGGGCUUAGGCUGAUCUAGUCUGGGCUUGACUCCAGGCUGAGCGUGGGAACCAUGUGUGCGCCACACGCCUCUCAUCCUGCAGCCAGAGCCGCUGUUCCCCAGGGCACGUGCAUCUCGUGGGGAAAAUCAAGAGCCUUAGAGGGCAGGCCUGGCAGUGCCCGCACAUUCCAGACUGCUGCUCGUGCUGUGUCUGUGCAAAUCUCGUUGGCAGAAGCAAGUCACCCAGCCACAAGCAACACCGAUGGGAUGGAAAUCCUUGAAUGCAGCACAGAAGGGAUCGGUAGUUGCCUGGUGUGAAGCAGAGCUAAGCCCACAGGAGGAAGCAAUAUUGCAA
rnacentral:lncRNA from 1 species